rnacentral:rRNA from 1 species
GUGACCUCAGCUCAAGUGAGAACACCUGUUGAGUUAAAGCAUAUAAUUAAGCGGAGAAAAAGAAACUUACAAGGAUUCCCCUAGUAGCAUCAAGUGAACCGGGAAGAGCCCAGCAUGAAAAUCAGGCAGAAGCAUCACCUGAAUUACAGUCUAUAGAAGUGUCCUCAGUAGCGAACCUUGGCCAAGUCCCUUGGAAGGGGGCACCUGAGAGGGUGACAACCCGAUUGGGCCAGGACCCUGCUGCAUCAUGAGGCGUUGUUGGCAAGUCAAGUUGUUUAGGAAUGCAACCCUAAUUGGGUGGUAAAUUCCGUCCGAGGCUAAAUACGGGCAAGAGACCAAUAGAAAACAAGUACCAUGAGGGAAAGAUUAAGAGGAAUUUUAAAAGAGAGUUAAAGAGUGCUUGAAAUUACUGGGAGGGAAGCGGAUGGAGCCUGUUGAUGUGUCUUGGUCAGAUGUGGAAUGGCUCAAGCUGGUCUGCUACUCAACUUGAGGUGCAAACCAACAAGGGCUGCUGCAUCGUCACAAGUGCAGGUGGAUUACUACCUAUCAGUUUGUCAUUGCGGUGGUCGAGGAAUGAAGCAUGUGCCCUUGUGGUGGGCAGUGUGCACCUGCGCACUUGUGGCGUUGGUUGGCGGGCUUUCCAUUCGACCCGUCUUGAAACAUGGACCAAGGAGUCUAACAUGUGUGUGAUUUGGUGGGUUUGAAAACCUACGAGGUCCAAGGAAGCUAAUGGGCGAGAUCCCCUUUUUGGGGGGUGCAUUGUCGACCGACCUUGAACUUAUGCAAAGGGUUCGAAUGCAAGCACACUUGUUGGGACCCGAAAGAUGUUGAACUAUGCCUGAGCAGGGUGAAGCUAGAGGAAGCUCUGGUGGAGGCUCGUAGCGAUACUGACGUGCAAAUCAUUUCUCUGACUUGGGUAUAGGGGUGAAAGAAUAAUUGAACCAUCUAGUAGUUGGUGUCCUCCGAAGUUUCCCUUAGGAUAGCUGGAGCUCACACGCGAUUUUUAUCGGGUAAAGCAAAUGAUUAGAGGCAUUGGGGGCAUAACACCCUCGACCUAUUCUCAAAAUUUAAAUAGAUAAGAGGGUGUGGCUGCUCCAUUGAGCUGUGCCAUGGAAUUGAGAGCUCCAAGUGGGCCAUUUUUGGUAAGCAGAACUGGAGAUGCGGUGUGAACCAAAAUUCAAGUUACGGUGCCAAAUUACGUGCUAACCUAGAUCCCACAAAGGGUGUUGGUUGUUUAAGACAGCAGCACGGUGGUCAUGGAAGUCGAAAUCCGCUAAGGAGUGUGUAACAACUCACCUGCCGAAUCAACUAGCCCCGAAAAUGGAUGGCGCUGAAGCGCACAACCUAUACUCGACUGUUGGAGCAAUUUCCUGGCUCCGAUGAGAAGGAGGAUGCAGGGGUCGUUGAGAAACCUCGGGCAUGAACUUGGGUGGAUCAGCCUUUGGUGCAGAUCUUGGUAAUAGUAGUAAAUAUGCAAAUGAGAAAUUUGAAGACUGAAGUGGGGAAAGGUUCCAUGUCAACAACACUUGGACAUGGGUUAGUCGAUCCUAAGAGAUGGGGAAGCCUUGUAUCAAGGGUGCACUCUACAUGAGCAUCGAAAGGGAAUUAGGUUAAUAUUCCCAAAAAGGGACAAGGCAGUGGAAGACAAUGUUAGGAAAUCCAAAGACUUUGUCGGGGGCCCCGAGAAGAGUUAUCUUUUCUUUUUAACAGCUUGCCCACCCUAGAAUCGGUUCACUCGGAGAUAAGGUCCAACAGCUAGAAGAGCACCACACAUCUUGCGGUGUUUGAUGCACCCUUGAUGGCCCUUGAAAAUAUAGAGGACCAUGUAAUGUUCAUGCUCAGUCAUACUCAUAAACGCAUCAGGUCUCCAAGGUGAACAACCUCUCGUCAAUAUAACAAUGUAGGUAAGGGAAGUCGGCAAAAUGGAUCUGUAACUUCGGGAAAAGGAUUGUCUCUAAGGGUUGGGCCUAGGGUCUGUGCCCUCAACUCAUGGGUUGUCGACAGUCUACUCGAGCUACUCUCGCUGUGAGAGCAGGUAGUCACGUGCCAAGUGGGCUAUGAGCGUUGAAUGCCCCCUGUUGGGGAAUUUUCCCUAGGCAUCAAACAGUCGACUUAGAACUGGUACGGACAAGGGGAAUCUGAUUGUUUAAUUAAAACAAAGGAUGACGAUGGUUCUUGCGGAUGCUGACGCAAUGUGAUGUCUUCCCAGUGCUUUGAAUGUCAAAGUGAAGAAAUUCAACCAAGCGCGGGUAAAUGGCGGGAGUAACUAUGACUCUCUUAAGGUAGCCAAAUGCCUCGUCAUCUAAUUAGUGACACGCAUGAAUGGAUUAAUGAGAUUCCCACUAUCCCUAUCUACUAUCUAGCGAAACCACAACCAAGGGAAUGGGCUUGGUAGAAUCAACAAGGAAAGAAGACCCUAUUGAGCUUGACUCUAGUCCGACUUUGUGAAAUGACUUGAGAGGUGUAGAAUAAGUGGGAGCUAUUUUCAGUGCAAGUGAAAUACCACUACUUUUAACGUUAUUUUACUUAUUUCGUGGAGUAGAGACAGUGCACUGCCCCUAUUUUUGGCCUUAAGGCAUGUUUUGGCAGGUUGAUCCAAGAGGAAGACAUUGUUAGGUGGUGAGUUUGGCUAGGGCGACACAUCUAUUAAAAGACAACACUGGUUUCGUAAGAUGAGCUCAACGAGAGAAGAAAUCUCAAGUGGCACAAAAGGGUAAAAGCUCAUUUGAUUUUGAUUUUCAGUAUGAAUACAAACUGUGAAAGCAUGGCCUAUCGAUCCUUUAGAUUUUCAAAAUUUGAAGCGAGAGGUGUCAGAAAAGUUACCACAGGUAUAACUGGCUUCUGGUAGCCAAGCGUUCAUAGCGACGUUGCUUUUUGAUCCUUCGAUGUCAUCUCUUCCUAUCAUUAUGAAGCAGAAUUCACCAAGUAUUGGAUUAUUCACCCACUAAUAGGGAAUGUGAGCUGGGUUUCGAUCGUCGUGAGAUAGGUUAGUUUUACCCUACUAAUGAACCACACCACAAUAGUAAUUCAACUUAGUAUGAGAGGAACCGUUGAUUCAUACAAUUGGUCAUCACGCUUAGUUGAAAAUCCAGUGGCGCAAAGCUACCGUGUGUCGGAUUAUGACUAAACGCCUCUAAGUCAGAAUCCACGCUAGAAGCAGUGCAUGUCACUCUUUGACUGUAUCGCGACCCACAGUAGGGGCAUCGCUUUUUCACCCCUAGGGGCCCAUGUUAUUUGCAAACCACGACCAUGAAGCAUCUUGGCCGGGGCAGCUUUGAAGUUCAAUUCCAAAUGGUCGUUAGGAAGAAUCCUUUGCAGACGAAUUAAAUAUACGAUGGGGUACUAUAAGUGGCAUAGUGGCUUCACUGCCAUGAUCCAUUGAGAUUCAUCCCUUGGUCGCCUCGAUUCAA